GACCCCCCCCAGACCGGUGGGAGGCCCCCCCGGUGUCCCACAGGGGGCCUGGGGGGUUUUCCAGUAUGUCCCAGUAAGAACCAGUAUGGCCUAAUGGGAGCUGGGUGGCUCCCAGUAUGCUUAAAUGCUUCCUUCCCUAUAGACUGAUAUGUCCCAGUACAUUCCAGUAUGUCCCAGUACAUCCUAACAAGACCCGCGUGGCUCCCAGUAUGCUCAAGUGUUUCCCUCACUAUAUAUUAAUACAUCCCAGUACAUCCCAGUAUGUCCCAGUACGUCCUAAAAGGACCCAUGUGGCUCCCAGUAUGCUCACGAGCUUCCUUUCCUAUAGACUAACAUGUCCCAGUACAUCCCAGUAUGUACCAGUGCCCCCCUACAGCUCCACUGCUACCUCCCAGUAUAGCCCAGUAUGUCCCAGUAUGUCCUAACAGGACCCAUGUGGCUCCCAGUAUGCUCAAAUGCUUCCUUCCCUAUAGAGUAACAUGUCCCAGUACAUCCCAGUAUGUCCCAGUAUGUCCUAAUGGCCCCACCAGUAUGUCCCAGUAUCCCCCAAUGCCCCCUUGCUAUCUCCCAGUAUGUCCCAGUAUGCCCCAGUGGGACCUACGUGGCUCCCAGUAUGCUCAAGAGCUUCCUUUUCUAUAGACUAACAUGUCCCAGUACAUCCCAGUACAUCCCAGUAUGCCCCAAUGGGACCCGUGUGGCUCCCAGUAUGCUCAAAUGCUUCCCUCCCUAUAGACUAACAUGUCCCAGUACAUCCCAGUAUGUCCCAGUAUGUCCCAAUGGGACCUGGAUGACUCCCAGUAUGCUCAAACGCUUCCCUCCCUAUAGACUAAUACAUCCCAGUAUGUCCCAGUACAUCCUAACAGCCCCACCGCUAUCUCCCAGUACAUCCCAGUAUGCCCCAGUACCCCUCUACAACCCUCCCAGUCCCUCCCAGUACAACCCAGUACCUCCCACUGCACCCCCAGCAGCCCCCCAGCGCCCCCAAAUCCCCUUUUCCCCCCACUGCAGCGCUCCCAGUGCCCACCCAGUUCCUCCCAGUGCCCUCCCAGUUUACCCCAGUCCCUCCCAGCGCCCUCCCAGCGCCCUCCCAGUCCCUCCCAGUGCUCCCAGUACCGGCCAGACGCUGGGACUGGGGGUGCCCAGGGCGCGCAGCACGCAGCAGAGCUGCUCGAUGUCGUUCUCCCCCGGGAACAGGGGCGAAAGGUUCAGCAGCUCCCCAAAAAUGCAGCCCACGGCCCUGGGGGGGGGGGGCAGAAAUUUAUUUUUUUUAGGAGGGGUCAAAAAUUUUGGGGGAAAAAGGGGAAAUUUUGGGCAAAAAGGGAAAGGGGAAAAGGGAAGGGAAAAUUGAGGAGGAAAAUUAGGGGGAGGGAAAUGUUAAGAUAAAAAUCUGGAGGGG
rnacentral:lncRNA from 1 species